AUUGAACGCUGGCGGCAUGCCUUACACAUGCAAGUCGAACGGCAGCACGGGAGCAAUCCUGGUGGCGAGUGGCGAACGGGUGAGUAAUAUAUCGGAACGUGCCCAGUCGUGGGGGAUAACGUAGCGAAAGCUACGCUAAUACCGCAUACGAUCUAUGGAUGAAAGCGGGGGAUCGCAAGACCUCGCGCGAUUGGAGCGGCCGAUAUCAGAUUAGGUAGUUGGUGAGGUAAAGGCUCACCAAGCCGACGAUCUGUAGCUGGUCUGAGAGGACGACCAGCCACACUGGGACUGAGACACGGCCCAGACUCCUACGGGAGGCAGCAGUGGGGAAUUUUGGACAAUGGGCGCAAGCCUGAUCCAGCAAUGCCGCGUGCAGGAUGAAGGCCUCGGUU
rnacentral:rRNA from 1 species